rnacentral:rRNA from 1 species
AACGAACGCUGGCGGCAUGCCUAACACAUGCAAGUCGAACGAAGGCUUCGGCCUUAGUGGCGCACGGGUGCGUAACGCGUGGGAAUCUGCCCUUUGGUUCGGAAUAACAGCUGGAAACGGCUGCUAAUACCGGAUGAUGACGAAAGUCCAAAGAUUUAUCGCCAGAGGAUGAGCCCGCGUUGGAUUAGGUAGUUGGUGGGGUAAAGGCCUACCAAGCCGACGAUCCAUAGCUGGUCUGAGAGGAUGAUCAGCCACACUGGGACUGAGACACGGCCCAGACUCCGACGGGAGGGAGGAGUGGGGAAUAUAGGACAAUGGGCGCAAGCAUGAUGCAGCAAUGCCGCGUGAGUGAUGAAGGCCCUAGGGUUGUAAAGCUCUUUUACCCGGGAAGAUAAUGACUGUACCGGGAGAAUAAGCCCCGGCUAACUCCGUG